rnacentral:rRNA from 1 species
UACGUAGGGUGCGAGCGUUAAUCGGAAUUACUGGGCGUAAAGCGUGCGCAGGCGGUUCGUUAAGUCAGUUGUGAAAGCCCCGGGCUCAACCUGGGAAUGGCGGUUGAAACUGGCGAACUAGAAUCUGGCAGAGGGGGGUGGAAUUCCACGUGUAGCAGUGAAAUGCGUAGAGAUGUGGAGGAACACCGAUGGCGAAGGCAGCCCCCUGGGCUGAGAUUGACGCUCAGGCACGAAAGCGUGGGGAGCAAACAGG